CUUUCCUUCUGCCUCAUUCCCACAUGGUGUGUAAGAAAAAGAAGCUGCUGGAUUGAGCAUUUCGUCUUGGCUGAUCUGGCUUUUGCAUGUAGAAAGAAUGGAUUGCUUUAACUUAAGUGACCAUUGGGCAUCUGUAUGCUGUACUCGUAUACAGAAUGACCGUUUUUGUGACGAUAUUGGCUUGUUAAGAUGAACGAGGUUCCUGUAUGUCAAGUGCAUGAUGUGGGCCAGUGAAGUUGGCUUAAUGCGUGUAGAUGGUGUAUGAAGGCUGUGAUGUUUUGACGUCUUGUACCAGUGUUGCUGUCUGUAAUGAAUGGAGUCUAAUCCUUGACAGGUGAAGCUGUUUGCAUCCUAUAACCCUAAGGGCCCUAUUAAAGCAUGCUGCGUCUUUACCAGGCAGGGUGUAUUGGAGUCUACUGGUCAAGUUGAGACUGACAUGGUACAGCAGUGGCCCUCACCACAAGCUUGUGAUCACCUGGACUGGGAGGGUGAUGUUCUAACACAUGCUCAUGAAGGGAGAGAUUAUCAAGUUAAUGGCUUUUCAUGUGUUGAAUAAAAAUUUGAAAUGAAAAAA